AUUGAACGCUGGCGGCAGGCUUAACACAUGCAAGUCGAGCGAGCGGCGGACGGGUGAGUAAUGUAUGGGGAACUGCCUGAUGGAGGGGGAUAACUACUGGAAACGGUGGCUAAUACCGCAUACCAUCGGAUGUGCCCAGAUGGGAUUAGCUAGUAGGUGGGGUAAUGGCUCACCUAGGCGACGAUCCCUAGCUGGUCUGAGAGGAUGAUCAGCCACACUGGAACUGAGACACGGCCCAGACUCCUACGGGAGGCAGCAGUGGGGAAUAUUGCACAAUGGGCGCAAGCCUGAUACAGCCAUGCCGAGUGUGUGAAGAAGGCCUUCGGGUUGUAAAGCACUUUCAGCGAGGAGGCGUUACUCGCAGAAGAAGCACCGGCUAACUCCGUGCCAGCAGCCGCGGUAAUUC
rnacentral:rRNA from 1 species